rnacentral:rRNA from 1 species
GACAUAGGUGGCGAACGUUAUCCGGAAUUAUUGGGCGUAAAGGGUGCGUAGGCGGUUCGGUAAGUUUCGUGUGAAAUCUUCGGGCUCAACUCGAAGCCUGCACGAGAUACUGCCGGGCUUGAGUGUGGGAGAGGUGAGUGGAAUUUCCGGUGUAGCGGUGAAAUGCGUAGAUAUCGGAAGGAACACCUGUGGCGAAAGCGGCUCACUGGACCACAACUGACGCUGAGGCACGAAAGCUAGGGGAGCAAACAGG